AAGAGCCGUAUGCGGGAAAUUCGCAAGUACGGUUCUGUUGGGGGGAUCAUAGCAACUAAACCUAAU
rnacentral:ncRNA from 1 species